rnacentral:rRNA from 1 species
CGGAGCAAAUCUCAAAAAGACCGUCCCAGUUCGGAUUGCAGGCUGCAACCCGCCUGCAUGAAGUUGGAAUCGCUAGUAAUCGCGGAUCAGCAUGCCGCGGUGAAUACGUUCCCGGGCCUUGUACACACCGCCCGUCACACCAUGAGAGUCGGGAACACCCGAAGUCCGUAGUCUGACCGCAAGGGGGACGCGGCCGAAGGUGGGUUCGAUAAUUGGGGUGAAGUCGUAACAAGGUAAC